UAGUGAGUUUGAUCCUGGCUCAGGAUGAACGCUGGACGGUCUGCUUAACGACAUGGCAAGUCGAACGCAAGUAGAAAUACUUGAGUGGCGGACGGGUGAGUAACGCGUGAGAAUCUGCCUUCUGGUCGGGGACAACCACUGGAAACGGUGGCUAAUACCGGAUAUGCCUAUGGGUGAAAGAUUAAUUGCCAGAAGAAGAGCUCGCGUCUGAUUAGCUAGUUGGAGAGGUAAA
rnacentral:rRNA from 1 species